UACGUAGGUGGCAAGCGUUGUCCGGAUUUACUGGGCGUAAAGAGCGCGCAGGCGGUCGUUCAAGUCGCGUGUGAAAGCCCCCGGCUCAACUGGGGAGGGUCACGCGAUACUGAUCGACUCGAAGGCAGGAGAGGGAAGUGGAAUUCCCGGUGUAGUGGUGAAAUGCGUAGAUAUCGGGAGGAACACCAGUGGCGAAGGCGGCUCACUGGACCGGAACUGACGCUGAGGCGCGAAAGCGUGGGGAGCAAACGGG
rnacentral:rRNA from 1 species